GGAUUUUCCCUGGGCAGCAAACACCUUUGUGUGACCGCAGACCACAGACCUCUCCCAGGGCUCUAAGACGCUGAAGACAGGGACAGGGACUCAGGGGCAGGUAAGAGAAGUCAGCACAAAAUAGCUCAAAGCCUCUGGCCAACCAGUGCUGGCUUGGCUCAGAUCCACCUUCUCCCAGGUGACUGGCCCCAAAGGGGUUCCCAGCCCCCACCCCAUCCUGAGCCCUGCAGGCACCGCCCCCAAGGGAGUCCCCCUCAGGGCAGUUCAUCCCAGCUGGCUUCUGUGGGUGUGGCUUCUGACGGAUGGCCUGGAGGUGCUUUGUCCCAGUCCCCGGGAACUGAUCAUUUCUUCCCUGGCUCCGAGCUACAGAGUUCUACCUGGCUGGCUCUCCCCACAGCUUCUCGACAUGGUUCUCAAGGAGAGACUCAGGAACGGACCUGCAAGGAUUUACCACCCCACCGGCCGGGGUGGAACCUGACAAGUGACGUCCCAACGUGGGGCUGAGUGAGGGAACACGACAGAUGGCCCCGUCCAACUCCGUGGGGCUAGAGACUCCUGACCUCACCCUAUGGAGCACUUGAUCUGGGUGUUCAUGUGGACCCUUUAUGAAUAAACCAGUAGGGGUGCCUGGGUGGCUCAGUCGGUUAAGUGUCCAGCUUCGGCUCAGGUCAUAAUCUCACGGUUCGUGGGUUCGAGCCCCGCAUCAGGCUCUGUGCUGACUGCUAGCUCAGAGCCUGGAGCCUGCUUCAGAUUCUGAGUCUCCCUCUCUCUCUUCUCCUCCCCUGCUCGCGCUCUCUCUCUCAAAAAUAAAUUUUAAAAAAACAUAAAAAAUAUGAAUAAACCAGUAAAGGCAAGUGCCUCCCUGAGUUA
rnacentral:lncRNA from 1 species